GUGCUCACUUUGGCAGCACAUACACUAAAAUUGGAACAAUACAGAAAAGGUUAGAAUGGCCCCUGUGCAGGGAUGACACACAAAUUCAUGAAGUGUUCCAUAUUUUU